rnacentral:lncRNA from 1 species
UCGGCCCGCCGUACUGUCUGCCGUGGUACGUUUUUGCUCAUCGUCAUCAUUACUUAUGCACGCUGUGCUAUAAAAAGCCUGCAUAAAUAUUCCUCACUGCCUUCCAUGUUCCAUUCAGCAUUGACACGCGUAUUGUUUCAUGAAUAUUAAUUCAUGAAUUGACUCGUGACACAAAUUCUCCCACAUCCGAGAGUACCAGCAAACAGAGUGCCAGUAAAUUCCUGCAACUGGAAGCAUUCGAGAGAUCAUCAAUUUCUGCAAAUAUCGUCACACCAGCACGCUUUUGCCUUCGAAAUUGCCAGUAUUUUCCUUGCAUUUUUUACACACGCAACGAAAGAAGGAAAUCGACUCAUCCGCCCAAGGGAAGCAUCCGUUGACCUUCAAUACGCUGUAGACUGUGAACAUUGCUACAUGAAACCAUGGAGUGGAGUAACGGCAAGAAGAUAGCCAUUGGGGUGUGUGUCCUGGUCAUAGUUGCUGGCAUCGUGGCCGCUGUGGUCGUCACACAAGUCGUCAAUAAAUAAUGCUGGACAAAUAAGACUGCAAGAAGGACUGAGGAUUGGAUCUUCAGAGGCUAGAACGAAGACUGGAGUUCCCGGCAGAGGACGCCCUCUUGAGACAAUGACUUCAAGGGUGCGGAAGGAGCCAUCAAGUUGAUGGAGUAGCAGCUGAUUUUAGGGAUGGGAGGGGCGUCACUAUUUUUAUGGGUAGGGGCUAAAAUGGGCUGAUGUUACUCUAAUGUAACCCUUCCAGCUAUAUUUUAUUGAGCCCGCCAUUUAUUGUCUUUUUUUAUAAUCGCAAUAGCAGGAUUUUUGGUAGUGUAUUUGAGGAACCUCACUUUUAAACUGAACAACCUGAAAACGGAACAAUUUUUUUUUUAUCAAGAAAUCAAAUUUUUAUUCAGAGAAUUAAUAUGAGGAGGCACAAAUGCUUCUCCAUCUUCAAACUGAAUGAAAUCGAUAAGGAAUUUCUCAACACUGAAUGAAAUGAAAACUACUUUUGUAUCAUAGGUCGUAAGAAGUUUUAUAAUUAGAGUAAUUUUACCCUCCCCCCCCCCAAAAAAAGAAACAAUGUAAGGGCAUCAGAAGAGACAGUACCUUCUGUUAUGCAAACUCGUAGCCACGCAUGUCCGAUGAAGGAAGUUGAGUAGUGUCAUGUCUAUUUUGCAGUAUUUGAGUGGGAAGUUGACGCCAGAAAUAAUAUCAUAUACCAGUUUCUUUUCCGUUCAUAACAAACUUUCCUAAUUCAUUAUCACACUUUCAUGACCGCAUGUGCCCAAUUUUUAGAGAAAAGAGAGAAAAUAAUACUUAGGAACACUAUCUUGAUAAAAAAAAGUUGUGUAAACUAUGUUUCUAUUCCGACAUCUUCCCGUCUAUAUGCUCAUUUCUCUCAUGUACAUAAAUCUGUACACCUCAUAUUUUUUUUUAAAGAAAUGUUUGAUACAUAGUUAUACUCAGUGAUUAACAACGUAGUUUCAUAGCUGCCUUUUUUCAAUUAAUUCUAAUGUAGAAUUUCCUUUCCCGAUAUUUAGUUCAUGUUCUUGUAGGCGCUGGAAAACAAAGAGUUGUCUUUAUUUGGCCAAACUUUUUUAUUAUAGUGAAAUAUAGGCGGGACACAGACGAUAAAAUUCAGCCUUUUUUGUUUCGACUGAAAUUUGCUCGUUGCCUUUUUGCAAUUUCAAAGUCAAUCAUUAAAUGUGCACCUUUUUGUAUAGUUUUUGGCUCAAAAUCCACAUUCGUCUUGAAGGAAGUACUUUUUUAAAUUUCCUUAAUGUUUAUAAUUUUCCUUAAUAUAAGAGUAUAAAAAUGUCUUGCCCAGAAAACAAAACUCUAUACAAAAACCUAUAGGGAGUAAUGAAAAAUUUGGUUUGUAUGUUUAUUUUCAAUUUUCUUCUGAGACUGAUUAUAUUAAGGGAAUGUUGCAGGAAACGUGUGUCUAUUUAUAAGUAUCAUAUUUUUGAAAUAUUAUAGAUUGGUGUAUGGAACUAGUUAUACAAUUUAAAAGGUGCUUUGUCAAAAUCUGUUUUUGUUUUCAUCAACCAUUGUCAUUACUUCAACCAUUUUUCUGAAUGCCUCUCUUAAACUACGUCUAUUGUCGUUAAUGCAAUUAAAUGCACAACUCAUUUAAAACAAAAUCUUCUCCAGUCCCACGACUUUAAUUUGCGACUUCUUGUGUGAUUUGAUCGUGUGAGAGAAUUCAAUACUUAUUAAUAAAAUGCCUUGCCGUGUUAUUUAUUUAAAA